rnacentral:tRNA from 1 species
AGCUCCAUCGUCUAGUGGUCGCUACGCAAGUAGCCACAAAAGGAUAUCGCCCUCUGGAGGCGGUGACGCCAGUUCGAAUCUGGCUGGAGCUA